rnacentral:rRNA from 1 species
CAGUCGCCGCGGGAAUACGUAGGUGGCAAGCGUUGUCCGGAAUUAUUGGGCGUAAAGCGCGCGCAGGCGGAUAGGUCAGUCUGUCUUAAAAGUUCGGGGCUUAACCCCGUGAUGGGAUGGAAGCUGCCAAUCUAGAGUAUCGGAGAGGAAAGUGGAAUUCCUAGUGUAGCGGUGAAAUGCGUAGAUAUUAGGAAGAACACCAGUGGCGAAGGCGACUUUCUGGACGAAAACUGACGCUGAGGCGCGAAAGCCAGGGGAGCGAACGGGAUUAGAUACCCCUGUAGUCCCUGUCUCUCAUACA